UACGGGGGGGGGCAAGCGUUGUUCGGAAUUACUGGGCGUAAAGGGCUCGUAGGUGGCCAACUAAGUCAGACGUGAAAUCCCUCGGCUUAACCGGGGAACUGCGUCUGAUACUGGAUGGCUUGAGUUUGGGAGAGGGACGCGGAAUUCCAGGUGUAGCGGUGAAAUGCGUAGAUAUCUGGAGGAACACCGGUGGCGAAGGCGGCAUCCUGGACCAUUACUGACACUGAAUAGCGAAAGCCAGGGGAGCAAACGGG
rnacentral:rRNA from 1 species